GAUGAACGCUAGCUACAGGCUUAACACAUGCGAGUCGCGGGGCAGCAUGGGGGUUGCUUGCAACCCCUGAUGGGGACCGGCGCACGGGUGAGUAACGCGUAUCCAACCUGCCCUUCACCACGGGAUAACCCGGCGAAAGUCGGACUAAUACCGUAUGUUGUCCAUUGACGGCGUCCGAGUUGGACGAGAGGCUUGGGGGUGGAAGGGUGGGGAAGCGUCUGAUUAGCUUGACGGUGGGGUAACGGCCCACCGGGGCUACGAUGGGUAGGGGUUCUGAGAGGAAGGUCCCUCACACUGGGACUGAGACCAUGGCCAGACUCCUACGGGCGGCAGCAGUGAGGAAUAUUGGUCAAUGGGCGUAAGCCUGAACCAGCCAAGUAGCGUGCAGGAUGACGGCCCUAUGGGUUGUAAACUGCUUUUAUGCGGGGAUAAAGUGGCCCACGUGUGGGCUUUUGCAGGUACCGCAUGAAUAAGGACCGGCUAAUUCCGUG
rnacentral:rRNA from 1 species